rnacentral:rRNA from 1 species
UACAGAGGUCUCAAGCGUUUGUUCGGAUUCAUUGGGCGUAAAGGGUGUGUAGGUGGCGCGCUAAGUCGGGUGUGAAAUUUCGGAGCUUAACUCCGAAACUGCAUUCGAUACUGGCGUGCUUGAGGACUGGAGAGGAGACUGGAAUUCAUGGUGUAGCAGUGAAAUGCGUAGAUAUCGUGAGGAAGACCAGUGGCGAAGGCGGAUCUCUGGACAGCUCCUGACGCUGAGGCGCGAAAGCGUGGGGAGCAAACAGG